rnacentral:rRNA from 1 species
CGAUGAAGCCUUAGCUUGCUUUGGUGGAUUAGUGGCGAACGGGUGAGUAACACGUGAGCAACGUGCCCAGGACUCUGGAAUAACCGCGGGAAACCGUGGCUAAUACCGGAUAGGUGCCGAGGCCGCAUGGUCUUCGGUUGGAAAGUUUUUGCGGUUCUGGAUCGGCUCACGGCCUAUCAGCUUGUUGGUGGGGUAAUGGCCUACCAAGGCGACGACGGGUAGCCGGCCUGAGAGGGUGACCGGCCACACUGGGACUGAGACACGGCCCAGACUCCUACGGGAGGCAGCAGUGGGGAAUAUUGCACAAUGGGCGCAAGCCUGAUGCAGCAACGCCGCGUGGGGGAUGACGGCCUUCGGGUUGUAAACCUCUUUUAGUAGGGAAGAAGCGCAAGUGACGGUACCUGCAGAAAAAGCACCGGCUAACUACGUGCCAGCAGCCGCGGUAAUACGUAGGGUGCAAGCGUUGUCCGGAUUUAUUGGGCGUAAAGAGCUCGUAGGCGGUUUGUCGCGUCUGCUGUGAAAGCCCGAGGCUCAACCUCGGGUCUGCAGUGGGUACGGGCAGGCUAGAGUGCGGUAGGGGAGAUUGGAAUUCCUGGUGUAGCGGUGGAAUGCGCAGAUAUCAGGAGGAACACCGAUGGCGAAGGCAGAUCUCUGGGCCGUUACUGACGCUGAGGAGCGAAAGCAUGGGGAGCGAACAGGAUUAGAUACCCUGGUAGUCCAUGCCGUAAACGUUGGGCGCUAGAUGUGGGGACCUUUCCACGGUUUCUGUGUCGUAGCUAACGCAUUAAGCGCCCCGCCUGGGGAGUACGGCCGCAAGGCUAAAACUCAAAGGAAUUGACGGGGGCCCGCACAAGCGGCGGAGCAUGCGGAUUAAUUCGAUGCAACGCGAAGAACCUUACCAAGGCUUGACAUAUAUCGGAAUCGGCUAGAGAUAGUCGCGCCCUUUGGGUCGGUAUACAGGUGGUGCAUGGUUGUCGUCAGCUCGUGUCGUGAGAUGUUCGGUUAAGUCCGGCAACGAGCGCAACCCUUGUCCUAUGUUGCCAGCACGUUAUGGUGGGAACUCAUGGGAUACUGCCGUGGUCAACACGGAGGAAGGUGGGGAUGACGUCAAAUCAUCAUGCCCCUUAUGUCUUGGGCUUCACGCAUGCUACAAUGGCCGGUACAAUGGGCUGCGAUACCGCGAGGUGGAGCGAAUCCCAAAAAGCCGGUCUCAGU